rnacentral:rRNA from 1 species
GAUGAACGCUGGCGGCGUGCCUAUCACAUGCAAGUCGAGCGAACCCUUCGGGGUGAGCGGCGGACGGGUGAGUAACGCGUGGGUAACCUGCCCUAUACACACGGAUAACGUACCGAAAGGUACGCUAAUACGGGAUAAAGCUGUUGGAUGGCAUCUUCUAACAAUCAAAGCUCCGGCGGUAUAGGAUGGACCCGCGUCUGAUUAGCUAGUUGGUGAGGUAAUGGCUCACCAAGGCGACGAUCAGUAGCCGACCUGAGAGGGUGAUCGGCCACACUGGAACUGAGACACGGUCCAGACUCCUACGGGAGGCAGCAGUGGGGAAUAUUGCACAAUGGGCGAAAGCCUGAUGCAGCAACGCCGCGUGAGCGAUGAAGGUCUUCGGAUCGUAAAGCUCUGUCCUCAAGGAAGAUAAUGACGGUACUUGAGGAGGAAGCCCCGGCUAACUACGUGCCAGCAGCAGCCGCAG